GCCUGGCAGGCUUAGUUGGUAGAGCAUGUGACUCUUAAUCUUGAGUCAUGAGUUCAAACCCCAUGUUGGGUA
rnacentral:tRNA from 1 species